CCUACGGGUGGCAGUAGUAGGGAAUCUUUCACAAUGGGCGAAAGCCUGAUGGAGCAACGCCGCGUGCAGGAUGAAGGCCUUCGGUUUGUAAACUGCUUUUAUAAGCGAGAAAUAUGAUGGUAACUUAUGAAUAAGGAUCGGCUAAAUACUUGCCAGCAGCCGCGGUCAUACGUAGGAGCCGAGCAUUAUCCGGAGUGAAUGGGUGUAAAGAGUUGCGUAGGUGGCAUAAUAAGUAGCUAGUGAAAUCUGGUGGCCCAACCAUUCAGACUAUUAGGUAAACUGUUAAGCUCGAGACCGUUAGGGGUAACUGGAAUUGCUAGUGUAGGAGUGAAAUCCGUAGAUAUUAGAAGGAACACCAAUAGCGUAGGCAGGUUGCUGGGACGGUUCUGACACUAAGGCACGAAAGCGUAGGGAGCAAACGGGAUUAGAUACCCGGGUAGUC
rnacentral:rRNA from 1 species